UGGCAAAACUCCCUUCUCCACUCUUUCCCCAACUGUGUGUACAAAGGAAAUGCAAAUACAUGUAAAUAUUAGCCUAAGCCACAGGCUUUUUGGAAGCUGUUGCGCUGCUUUAAAAAAAUCCUCUAAUGCAAGUGAAAGGACAGAGACUUUUCUGAGCCCGCUGCUCGGGCACCAAGAGCGCCAGCAAGAAGAAUUGGAGAAGCCAUGGUUCUCUGAAGAGACGGCCUUGCAUGGGGUGCAUCUGGGAUGAGAGGAGCAGAGGAACAGCUCCUGCCCUCUCCCCAGCAGGACUCGGCAUGAAGGCUGUCUGGCAUCCCCAGAUCUCCAGAGCCUGGCACCAUGACUGACACACAGAAGGGCAUUGUCUUGUCUGCAGAGGUCACCUGGAAAUACAAAAGCCGCCUUGUCGUCAGCCUGAGGGGGAUGGCAGAGCAGGAAGAUGCCCACUCAGAAGGAUGUCUUUGCAGAGGUUGAUUUGGAGUGGGAGAGAAGAGUGGAAAAAGAAAGAGGUGGGGCCAUCAAGAGAAAAGGGAAGCUCUGGAAUAGCCAUGAGAAAAUGGGAGCGCUGAUCAAAGGUGCAUAGCACUUCUGCCUGAAACAUUCCAGGGACAGAAAACUCACGGAUGAACGCUCCCAGAACUCAUUCUGUGCUGGACAGUGAUAAGUACCAAAUGUUCAUCUAGUGAUAUGUAGAGUCUACAAUUGCCUUACUAUCAAUUUUUUCCCAUUGGUUUUCUUUCCCCUUUGGGCCCUACGGCUAACCCACCCUCUGUCCCUGGCCUCCAGAACCUUCUGGAGAGUGCUCACAUUCUCUGUGCCCUGUGUGCCGGGGCUCCUUUCCAUCCCUCCCACACACCAAGCACCUGCUUCCUAGAGAGCUUCUGACUAGAGGCUUGUGUCCUGCUCUCUGUGUGAGACACCUGCACAAAGAGGUGCACAUGAGACUGUUCAGGGUCCAGCUCAAGUGCCACCUUUCUAGAGGAGGCUCCCAGACCACCAUAGCUACAAAAGCCCUCUUGGAAGGCCAACACUGAUGAUGUUAAAACAAAUCUGAUGGCAGAGCCUCUAUAAACCAAGUCAAAGGCCACACACACAAAAAAACUGUGAAAAAUAUUUCCACAUCACAUAUGACGGGGUUAAUUUCCCUAAAAUAGAAAGGAUUUCUGCAAUUUAAUAAGAAAAAGGCCAGUUGGGUUAUUGGUUUAAUAUGGAAAACAAAACAGGCAAAGGAUAUGAACAGUUCACCAAAGAAACAAUGCAAUAUUCUGUGCAAACAUAUGAAAAAGUACUCAAACUCAUGUAUGGUUAAAAAAAAGAGAGAAACAAUUUUUCAUCUAUCAUACUGGCAAAGAUAAAACAAUAAUAUUACUGUAUCAGCAAGGGUAUGGAAACAAGUCCCUUCAUAUCCUGCUGGUAAGAGUAUAAACUGGAACAAUUUUUAUAGAGGGUAAUUUGGUGAUAUUUAUCAUAAUUACAAGUGCACAAACCCUUUCACCCAGUGAUUUUUGCUUCUAGAAAUUUGUGCUAUAGAUAUGCUCCUGAGUGUGAGAAUUGAUACAUGUACAAAAGUACUCAUGGCAGUGUUGUGAACAGAAAGAGGCUGGAAACAAUAUAUGCGUCUAUCAGUAGGGGACUGGAUGGUAAGUUACAGUGCCCCCAUAUAAUAAAAUAGUAUGCAGUCAUUAGAACGAGGCAGAUCUAUUUGUGGUUCCAGAUUGCUUUGAGAGCAUUUUGUAUUGGCUUGCCCACAGUUUUUAUUUGCUCUUUUAUAUUUUUUUCUUAAAGAGGGCCCCUACAGUUGUAUAGCUUCAGGCCUCCCAAAACCUGGAUACAUUCCUGACCCUAACACCUGGGAGACAGACACAAUUCUUUCAUAACUGAGGCUCAUUCCCAUGGUGGGAAGAAGUGGAUUAUAUGGAGGGAAAUGGUGGGGAGGGGUGGGGAGCAGGGAUGGAUCAAAAUUGAGAGUUUGAAAAAGUUCCAUAGGUGAUUCUGAUAUGCUUCAUCCUUCAACCCCAAAAUCCCCAGUCCUGCACAGAUACCCUCCAGUCCCCAGCACCUUCUCCUUAAGACUCUAAACCUAGUCUCUCAGAUGAAGACUUAACCUCUGCAACUAAUGUCCAGUGGCUUUGUCCAUCUCACAGCAGCUCCUUCCUUUGUAGCCUAGUUCUCUGGGCCCUUGAGGUCCCCCAGAGAAGCUCAGACCGGCCAUCCUAACUGCAGAGUUGUUUUUGCUCCUUGGCUUCUCCAGCCCUUUGAUUUGAAACACAGCUACUACUCACCUCGUGUUUCACAAGAAGAUGGCAAGAGACGGAAGUCCCCACAUCACUCUCUAAGUCGGUCAGUCUUGGAGGGGUCAAUACUCAGAAGAAAGCAGAUGCAGAGGGACACAAGACAACCACCAGACAGGUGGCAGACUCCGAGCUCUCCAGUUAGAGAAAGGAGGCCCCGUACCUGUGGAUCCCACCAGUGAGAUGCAGGCCUGCUUUGGACGAAGUCUCGGCUCGUGAGCAGGGAAGCCCACACAGUUCAUUCCUUAGGGGACUCUCAAAGCUUCUGGGAGCUCAAUGAUAUAUUGAAGUUCUGGAGGUUCCUGGGAUGGCCUGAAGUUGGGCAGAAGUGCAUCAAAAGCCUCUCAAAUGUGAUGAUUUAAUUGGAUGGCAAAACUCAAAAGGCAUCUUUUUUUCUACUGAAAAGAACUGGACCCUGUGCAGAAGAAUACUUAGAGCCCUUUGAGGAGAGAAAUAAGCCUAUCUUGUUAUAGCUACAGAAGGGCUGAGCCUUCAGGAGACUUGCUACUUACUGUUCUGGGUAAGGCCAAGUCCUCGUAUCUCGCUGCAACACAGCCAAAAUUCCUGCAGCGUCUCCAUCAUGCCCAUUUCCCACAUGUUCUCUACACAGCUGCCAAACUCACCUUCUCACAAAGGAAAAAGAAAGCGUGCUCCCUCCACAGCUGAAAAUUCCCCAAUGGCUACUGACCUCAUUUCAUAAGAAAACAUUAAUUAAAUAAAACCCAGGGAUAGACAGACUUCUUCUUUAAUGGUUGAUGUAGUAAGAAUUUUAGGCUUUGCCCAAUAUGGUGUCUGUUGGGUGGGUGUAUUGCAGUGAUAAGCUGCACUAGGGUAAAGCAAAUGAGUUGCCUCAGGAAACAAAACAGUCACUCUCAGGGCCGUUGUGAGGGUGGAAGUAGACACAGACAAUACUCGAAGAAUGGGCAUGGCUAUGUUCC